rnacentral:rRNA from 1 species
CGAAUGCUGACAUAAGUAACGAUAAAGCGGGUGAAAAGCCCGCUCGCCGGAAGACCAAGGGUUCCUGUCCAACGUUAAUCGGGGCAGGGUGAGUCGACCCCUAAGGCGAGGCCGAAAGGCGUAGUCGAUGGGAAACAGGUUAAUAUUCCUGUACUUGGUGUUACUGCGAAGGGGGGACGGAGAAGGCUAUGUUGGCCGGGCGACGGUUGUCCCGGUUUAAGCGUGUAGGCUGGUUUUCCAGGCAAAUCCGGAAAAUCAAGGCUGAGGCGUGAUGACGAGGCACU